rnacentral:rRNA from 1 species
AAAGCUUGCUUUUGAUGGGUGUCGACCGGCGCACGGGUGAGUAACGCGUAUCCAACCUGCCCACCACAUGGGGAUAACCUUGCGAAAGUAAGACUAAUACCCAAUGAUAUCUCUAGAAGACAUCUGAAAGAGAUUAAAGAUUUAUCGGUGAUGGAUGGGGAUGCGUCUGAUUAGCUUGUUGGCGGGGUAACGGCCCACCAAGGCGACGAUCAGUAGGGGUUCUGAGAGGAAGGUCCCCCACAUUGGAACUGAGACACGGUCCAAACUCCUACGGGAGGCAGCAGUGAGGAGUAUUGGUCAAUGGACGAGAGUCUGAACCAGCCAAGUAGCGUGCAGGAUGACGGCCCUAUGGGUUGUAAACUGCUUUUAUAAGGGAAUAAAGUGAGUCUCGUGAGACUUUUUGCAUGUACCUUAUGAAUAAGGACCGGCUAAUUCCGUGCCAGCAGCCGCGGUAAUACGGAAGGUCCGGGCGUUAUCCGGAUUUAUUGGGUUUAAAGGGAGCGUAGGCCGGAGAUUAAGCGUGUUGUGAAAUGUA